UACGAAGGGGGCUAGCGUUGCUCGGAAUUACUGGGCGUAAAGGGUGCGUCGGCGGGUCUUUAAGUCAGAGGUGAAAUCCUGGAGCUCAACUCCAGAACUGCCUUUGAUACUGAGGAUCUUGAGUUCGGGAGAGGUGAGUGGAACUGCGAGUGUAGAGGUGAAAUUCGUAGAUAUUCGCAAGAACACCAGUGGCGAAGGCGGCUCACUGGCCCGAUACUGACGCUGAGGUGCGAAAGCGUGGGGAGCAAACAGG
rnacentral:rRNA from 1 species